UGGACAGCCUUCAUCAGCGACUCAUGAUGCUCAUCUCUACAGCCCAGAGGACAUUUAAAGAACUAAAUAAAGAUAUAGAAGGCGGCCCCUUCUCUCAUCAGUAAGCCUUACCAUCUAAGGGACACUCUGGACAUCGGAAUAUUCCAAGUCGUCUGUUAUGGAGGAUUCAUCUGGCAACUCAGCAGAUUAGUGAAGAAAAAGUUAGAAGAAUAUUACCCUAAAUCAGGGUCAGGUGAUAAGGGUCUGCAUUAUGACAGCUGGAACUGAAGUGAAUGAAAUAAAUGUGAGCACCACAAAGGAAGUCUCAUCAGGGCUUGGCUGAAUAUAAAGAGAGGGAGG
rnacentral:lncRNA from 1 species